UACGAAGGGGGCUAGCGUUGCUCGGAAUUACUGGGCGUAAAGCGCACGUAGGCGGUCUUUUAAGUCGGGGGUGAAAUCCUGGAGCUCAACUCCAGAACUGCCUUCGAUACUGGAAGACUUGAGUCCGGGAGAGGUGAGUGGAACUGCGAGUGUAGAGGUGAAAUUCGUAGAUAUUCGCAAGAACACCGGUGGCGAAGGCGGCGACCUGGUCCUUGACUGACGCUGAGGCGCGAAAGCGUGGGGAGCAAACAGG
rnacentral:rRNA from 1 species